GUCUAUGGCCAUGCUACCCUGAACAAGCCUGAUCCUGUCUGAUCUCGGAAGCUAAGCAGGGUCGGGCCUGGUUAGUACUUGGAUGGGAGACCACUUAGGAAGACCAGGUGCUGUAGGCA
rnacentral:rRNA from 1 species